GUCAAAACCAUGCUUUGGACAUUCACCCAUCAACCGCUUCAAGUGGCGAGUAAUGGACAGAUUUUUACUUGGAAUGGAAAUGCAGGAUGUUGGAUGCCGAAGUUUGGGUAGAUGCUGAUGAUAGGAUGCUCUAAUUAAAUGGUCAAAUUGCUCAAUGAGACAGUGGUUCGUCCCCACAUUCUAUGGUUGUUAUUGCUGGAUGGUGAAUUGGACAAUCCAUGGUACCAUCUGAUUGCCUGGUUCUUGUUGGAUGUGGUUGACCUUCCUGUUGCUCCAUCUUGGGAGAUGUAACUCAUCAUUUAAAAGUGGUUUGGGGUAUGUGGAAGUCGUGUUACAGGGGCGAAGUUUUCUUGGUUGUCAUUCGUUAUCUCUGGAAAAACGUAAUUUUGCUGAACUCGGUCACAAGAAGUUGAGAUCGUAAUCGUCGGUGACUUGAUGUGCAUCUCUGGCUUUGGUUAUUUGUGCUAUCGUCAGACUUGGUUGGGGUUCCAGAAAUUAUUGGUUAUCGUUUGCUGGUUGUUUUCCUGUUUUCCGUAUAACAAUGAGUUGUUUGAACGGCAUUUAGGAGCAGGUACGAAGAAGAUAAUCCUUCGAUAAUUAUUUGAGAAUGUAAUAUCUUGUAUGUGCUGAGAUACGAAUAAAAUAUUUUGAGGUUA